CGGGGUGUAGCUCAGUUUGGCAGAGCGUUUGGUUCGGGACCAAGAGGCCCGUCGGUUCAAAUCCGACCACCCCGACCA
rnacentral:tRNA from 1 species